rnacentral:rRNA from 1 species
UACAGAGGUGGCAAGCGUUGUUCGGAAUUACUGGGCGUAAAGGGUGCGUAGGAGGCUGGGAAAGUCGGAUGUGAAAUCUCACCGCUUAACGGUGAAACUGCAUUCGAUACUACUCGGCUAGAGGAUCGGAGGGGAGAGCAGAAUUCUUGGUGUAGCAGUGAAAUGCGUAGAUAUCAAGAGGAAUACCAACAGCGUAGGCAGCUCUCUGGAAGAUUCCUGACUCUGAGGCACGAAGGCCAGGGGAGCAAACGGG